ACUGCAACAGGAGCAGGAUGGGGCAUCUGGUCUGGUGGGCUUGGAGCAUCCUCUGCCAGCAGAAAGGGGAGAAACAAAAACUUGAAGCAGAAAUGUUAUUUUGGAGGUGAAACUUUGGAUUGAACUGAAUUCAGUGAGAGCUGUCAUUAACGAAGUCUUACCCGAGAGACAGUGCUGCUAUCAGAAGGAGAGAAAGAACCACACCGUGUUACCAUUUGGGAUGACUGCUUCUGCUGCUAAAUGUCAGGCAUUGCAUUCAAUACACCAGGCUUUUUUUUUUUUUCUUUUAAAUUAUCAUCUAGAAAAGUAACACCAGAAUGCCUAGAAUUUCACUAAAAGAAACUUUUGGAAAUUGCUCAAGAAAAGCUCCAGGGAGUACUUUCUCAGAAUGAAAAUCAGUUAAACAGAGCUUUUGAUGUAGAUACAGCCUAAUGGCCUCCAAAGCCUGGAACAGGUAUCUCGUUCCCCUCGUCCUUUCCCAGCUUUUAGCCCUAUGCAUGUAAGAAUGACUUUCAGCAUCUAGCAACAUCCUAAAGCUAUGAGCACAUCAGUAUCGUUGGUUGUUGCCAUCUCCUACAGAACUGAAGAAACGGGAUUUGCUUCAGCGGAGCUUCAUGGGCACAAAGAUCUCCACUCCAGCAAAGAACCUUGCAGGAAGAUAGGACGUGGCAGAAGGUAUCAGUUAUGGCACAGAUGUUUCAGGUUAACAUGAUCUCCACUGAAUCACACUGGGAGAUUACUUCCAGAGCUACUUACAAAUGACACUGAGCUCAUAGAGAGGGUUUGUGGCAAAGCAACUGCUGAGUU
rnacentral:lncRNA from 1 species